rnacentral:rRNA from 1 species
AGCGGCGGACGGGUGAGUAACACGUGGGCAACCUGCCUGUAAGAUUGGGAUAACCCCGGGAAACCGGGGCUAAUACCGGAUAAUACUUUUCGUUGCAUAACGAGAAGUUGAAAGGCGGCUUUUAGCUGUCACUUACAGAUGGGCCCGCGGCGCAUUAGCUAGUUGGUAAGGUAACGGCUUACCAAGGCGACGAUGCGUAGCCGACCUGAGAGGGUGAUCGGCCACACUGGGACUGAGACACGGCCCAGACUCCUACGGGAGGCAGCAGUAGGGAAUCUUCCGCAAUGGACGAAAGUCUGACGGAGCAACGCCGCGUGAGUGAUGAAGGUUUUCGGAUCGUAAAACUCUGUUGUCAGGGAAGAACAAGUGCCGUUCAAAUAGGGCGGCACCUUGACGGUACCUGACCAGAAAGCCCCGGCUAACUACGUGCCAGCAGCCGCGGUAAUACGUAGGGGGCAAGCGUUGUCCGGAAUUAUUGGGCGUAAAGCGCGCGCAGGCGGUCCUUUAAGUCUGAUGUGAAAGCCCACGGCUUAACCGUGGAGGGCCAUUGGAAACUGGAGGACUUGAGUACAGAAGAGGAGAGUGGAAUUCCACGUGUAGCGGUGAAAUGCGUAGAGAUGUGGAGGAACACCAGUGGCGAAGGCGACUCUCUGGUCUGUAACUGACGCUGAGGUGCGAAAGCGUGGGGAGCGAACAGGAUUAGAUACCCUGGUAGUCCACGCCGUAAACGAUGAGUGCUAGGUGUA